AGUAUUUUGACUAUACAAAGGUAUUGAAAUAAGACUUUAAUUGAGUGCUAAGAGAAUGGAAUUACAGGAAAAAUCUUUUUUAAACUUAACAAUUAAAGUUAUUUUUACUUGUGAAGAAACAGUAAUAAAAAUUAAGGACAAGAAGACCCUAAGAAUUUUUAGAAACAUAUUUCAAUAAAGAAGAUAUGUUUCUUUAAUUGGGGCGAUUAAUUAAUAUUAAAAACUUUUUUAAAAAAACAUGAACCGUUUAAUAGCGGUAAAUUGGUAAAAAUACUCUAGGGAUAACAGCGUAAUAAUUUUCGAUAGUUCAUAUUGACAAAAUAGUUUGCGACCUCGAUGUUGGAUUAGGAUAUUUUUUUGAUGAAGAAGUUAAAAAAAAAAGUUUGUUCAACUUUUAAUUUCCUA
rnacentral:rRNA from 1 species